rnacentral:rRNA from 1 species
GAUGAACGCUGAUGGCGUGCCUAAUACAUGCAAGUCGAGCGAACGGACGAGAAGCUUGCUUUUCUGAUGUUAGCGGCGGACGGGUGAGUAACACGUGGAUAACCUACCUAUAAGACUGGGAUAACUUCGGGAAACCGGAGCUAAUACCGGAUAAUAUUUUGAACCGCAUGGUUCAAAAGUGAAAGACGGUCUUGCUGUCACUUAUAGAUGGAUCCGCGCUGCAUUAGCUAGUUGGUAAGGUAACGGCUUACCAAGGCAACGAUGCAUAGCAGACCUGGGAGGGUGAUCGGCCACACUGGAACUGAGACACGGUCCAGACUCCUACGGGAGGCAGCAGUAGGGAAUCUUCCGCAAUGGGCGAAAGCCUGACGGAGCAACGCCGCGUGAGUGAUGAAGGUCUUCGGAUCGUAAAACUCUGUUAUUAGGGAAGAACAUAUGUGUAAGUAACUGUGCACAUCUUGACGGUACCUAAUCAGAAAGCCACGGCUAACUACGUG